AACGAACGCUGGCGGCAUGCCUAACACAUGCAAGUCGAACGAGACCUUCGGGUCGGGUGGCGCCCGGGUGCGUAAGGCGGGGUAAUCUGCCCGUAGGUUCGGAAUAACUGCCGGUAAGGGGGCCAAAUAUCGGCUAAUGUCUCCGGACCAAGGAUUUUUCGCCGUUGGAGGGGCACGCGAUUGAUUAGCUUCGUGGUUGGGUAACAGCCUAUGAAGGCGACGAUCCUUAGCUGGUCUGAGAGGUGGAUCAGCCACACUGGGAGUGAGACACGGCCAAGACUCCUACGGGGGGCAGCAGUGGAUAAUAUAGGGCAGUGGGCGAGAGGCUGGUCCAGCAGUGCCGCGUGGGUGAUGAAGGCAUUAGGGUUGUGAAGCUCUUUUACCCGGGAUGAUAAUGGCAGUUCCGGGAGAAGAAGCUGCGACUAACGCC
rnacentral:rRNA from 1 species